rnacentral:rRNA from 1 species
AGCGACGCGAUGGCUCAUUAAUCAGUUAUGGUUCACUAGAUCGUACAGUUUACAUGGAUAACYGUGGUAAUUCUAGAGCUAAUACAUGCACCCAGUCCGUUCCCUCGUGGAGCGGAUGCAGUUAUUUGCCCAAAACCAAUCCGGCCUUCGGGUCGGUCAAUUGGUGACUCUGAAUAACCGAAGCGGAGCGCAUGGUCUCGUACCGGCGCCAGAUCUUUCAAGUGUCUGACUUAUCAGCUUGUUGUUAGGUUAUGUUCCUAACAAGGCAUCAACGGGUAACGGAGUGUCAGGGCCCGACACCGGAGAGGGAGCCUGAGAAACGGCUACCACAUCCAAGGAAGGCAGCAGGCGCGCAAAUUACCCACUCCCGGCACGGGGAGGUAGUGACGAAAAAUAACGAUGCGAGAGCUUUAUGCUCCUCGUAAUCGGAAUGGGUACACUUUAAAUCCUUUAACGAGGAUCUAUUGGAGGGCAAGUCUGGUGCCAGCAGCCGCGGUAAUUCCAGCUCCAAUAGCGUAUAUUAAAGUUGCUGCGGUUAAAAAGCUCGUAGUUGGAUCUGGGUAGUCGAUGGACGGUGCGCUUUACGGCGUCUACUGUUCGUUCGGCACCACAUGCCGGCCAUGUCUUGCAUGCUCUUCACUGAGUGUGCUUGGCGACCGGAACGUUUACUUUGAAAAAAUUAGAGUGCUCAAAGCAGGCGUUAAGCCUUGCAUAAUGGUGCAUGGAAUAAUAGAAUAGGACCUCGGUUCUAUUUUGUUGGUUUUCGGAGCUCGAGGUAAUGAUUAAUAGGAACAGACGGGGGCAUUCGUAUUGCGGCGUUAGAGGUGAAAUCUGAU